UUAUUAGGUAUAAUUUUUUCGUACAAUGUUUUGAUUUGUCAUGAAUCAAGAUAUGUCUAAUGUUGUCACAUAUGAUUCAAAGAUGAGUCUCGUAUGGUCGAUAGACGAGUCUCCUAAAAUUAUUUCGAAGGACAACAAUAUGGUUUUGAUGAAGCCACAAAACACAAAUUUAUUGAAAAAUUGGAAAUAGCAAGAGUUCAAUAAAAAUUAACAUUUUUGGAACCGAUAAACUAUACCGGAUCUUGGAC
rnacentral:lncRNA from 1 species